UGCAGUCGAACGGCAGCGCGGGGCAACCUGGCGGCGAGUGGCGAACGGGUGAGUAAUAUAUCGGAACGUACCCAAGAGUGGGGGAUAACGUAGCGAAAGUUACGCUAAUACCGCAUACGAUCUAAGGAUGAAAGCAGGGGAUCUUCGGACCUUGUGCUCCUGGAGCGGCCGAUAUCUGAUUAGCUAGUUGGUGAGGUAAAGGCUCACCAAGGCCACGAUCAGUAGCUGGUCUGAGAGGACGACCAGCCACACUGGAACUGAGACACGGUCCAGACUCCUACGGGAGGCAGCAGUGGGGAAUUUUGGACAAUGGGCGAAAGCCUGAUCCAGCAAUGCCGCGUGAGUGAAGAAGGCCUUCGGGUUGUAAAGCUCUUUUGUCAGGGAAGAAACGGUGAGGGCUAAUAUCCUUCGCUAAUGACGGUACCUGAAGAAUAAGCACCGGCUAACUACGUGCCAGCA
rnacentral:rRNA from 1 species